GAGCGGGGUGAUGGUGCUUGCACUAUCACUUAGCGGCGGACGGGUGAGUAAUGCUUAGGAAUCUGCCUAUUAGUGGGGGACAACAUCUCGAAAGGGAUGCUAAUACCGCAUACGUCCUACGGGAGAAAGCAGGGGAUCACUUGUGACCUUGCGCUAAUAGAUGAGUCCUUAAGUUCGAAUUAGGCUAAGUUGGUGGGGUAAAGGCCUAGCCAAGGCGACGAUCUGUAGCGGGUCUGAGAGGAUGAUCCGCCACACUGGGACUGAGACACGACCCAGACUCCUACGGGAGGCAGCAGUGGGGAAUAUUGGACAAUGGGGGCAACCCUGAUCCAGCCAUGCCGCGUGUGUGAAGAAGGCCUUAUGGUUGUAAAGCACUUUAAGCGAGGAGGAGGCUCUUUUGGUUAAUACCCAGGAUGAGUGGACGUUACUCGCAGAAUAAGCACCGGCUAACUCUGUGCCAGCAGCCGCGGUAAUACAGAGGGUGCAAGCGUUAAUCGGAUUUACUGGGCGUAAAGCGCGCGUAGGCGGCCAAUUAAGUCAAAUGUGAAAUCCCCGAGCUUAACUUGGGAAUUGCAUUCGAUACUGGUUGGCUAGAGUGUGGGAGAGGAUGGUAGAAUUCCAGGUGUAGCGGUGAAAUGCGUAGAGAUCUGGAGGAAUACCGAUGGCGAAGGCAGCCAUCUGGCCUAACACUGACGCUGAGGUGCGAAAGCAUGGGGAGCAAACAGGAUUAGAUACCCUGGUAGUCCAUGCCGUAAACGAUGUCUACUAGCCGUUGGGGCCUUUGAGGCUUUAGUGGCGCAGCUAACGCGAUAAGUAGACCGCCUGGGGAGUACGGUCGCAAGACUAAAACUCAAAUGAAUUGACGGGGGCCCGCACAAGCGGUGGAGCAUGUGGUUUAAUUCGAUGCAACGCGAAGAACCUUACCUGGCCUUGACAUAGUAGAAACUUUCCAGAGAUGGAUUGGUGCCUUCGGGAAUCUACAUACAGGUGCUGCAUGGCUGUCGUCAGCUCGUGUCGUGAGAUGUUGGGUUAAGUCCCGCAACGAGCCGCAACCCUUUUCCUUACUUGCCAGCAUUUCGGAUGGGAACUUUAAGGAUACUGCCAGUGACAAACUGGAGGGAAGGCGGGGACGACGUCAAGUCAUCAUGGCCCUAACGGCCAGGGCUACACCACGUGCUACAAUGGUCGGUACAAAGGGUUGCUACCUAGCCAUAGGAAUGCUAAUCUCAAAAAGCCGAUUCGUAGUCCGAAUUGGGAGAUCUGGCAACU
rnacentral:rRNA from 1 species